rnacentral:lncRNA from 1 species
AGUCUGGCGCACGGCUUCAGGGGAGAUUGGCAGCUGGGUCAAACAAAGUCCUUCCAUUGGCUCCCUUCCCAGGCAGCUUCUGCUAGUGUUUAGGUACUAGUGCAGUGUAGAACCCUUUUCUCAGGCAAAACCUAACAUCUGACCGCACCCUUUUUGCUAUUAAAAAAAAAAAAAAGCUUCUAUUUUUUUCCUCCUGUCGUUAAGAUAAAUUCUCCAGUAGACAACCUCUCCCACUAAUUGUGUAUUAGCAACGUAUUUUAUCUUGAGAGCUUGUACACUGGGCUCUCAACGUGGUGUGGAAGGUAGCCUGUUACAGUGCUGGAUUCAUAAAAGGGCCUUUAUGGUUUGUGAAAGAAUAUCUGUGUGCUUAGGGAGGAAACUUUUUGAUCUGCAGAAAAGCCAGAAGACAUCUAGGACAUCCAUAAAAAUUCAUCAGAGAGCAUUUUACUACUGAGCUGCAAAGGGAAAAACUUAAAAUGGAUAUGAAAAGUGAAGAAAGUGAUCAUAGGAGAAAACCAUUUCAGGUGUCUGAUGAUUUGUGAGCCUCAAGUGACUACUCUGUGGAAUCAUCUGUCCUUGCCUUUGAAUUAGCUUUCCCUAGGCCAUGAGUCAACAUUAGUAGUUUAUACAUCCAAAUUGAUGACAAGAGCACCUCAAAGGCAGCAGCCUCAAGGAGCAGCCAUGGCCCCAGACUUGUCGCACGGAUGCAGAAAACUUAAUGGAGGAGGCUGAGCAAAACAGAGCGUGACACUCCCAAUCAUCUGCAUGCUGGAAAUGAGGAAAUGGUUAUUGAAUGAUACAAGUGCUUUUCGAUCAUUUAGAAAGUUCUGUUUCCCAAGAUCUUUUUUUUUUUUUUUUUUUUUGAGACGGUGUCUUGCUCUGUCACCCAGGCUGGAGUGCAGUGGCGCGAUCUCGGCUCACCACAACCUCCACCUCCUGGGUUCAAGCGAUUCU